CAUUCAACAUAUAAUUCCAUCUCCCAUACAAUCAAUUUCUAAAAUUUCAUAUUAUUAUCAUUUCCCCGAUAAUCGUACCAAAAUGUUGUUCUCGUUGCAUUCAAGCUUCAAUAGAUCAAUGCAAUUGAACUAAUAGAGGUCGAUUCGAACAUGGAGAAAGACUAGUUAUAUGAAUUGGGUCUGAUAGUGUCACAAUUGACUAUAUUUUGGCUAUUUGAAAUCAAAUAUCAAUCUAAAAAAUACUGAGGCUUAUUACUUCUAUCUUAAUUCAACCACUAAUCCAUUCUAUGAUUAUCAAUUCAAUAAUACUUCUCUCAAUCACCAUUCUUCAUAAGCAAAUAAUAAAGAAAAGAAAGAGAUAGCACCAAGCUUACUCCGACUUACGUCUCUCAUAGUUUGGCUCUCAACUUACGACUCUCAAUCUGGCUCUUGGCUUACAUCUCUCAGUCU
rnacentral:lncRNA from 1 species